AAUUCGAUGCAACGCGAAAAACCUUACCCACCUUUGACAUGUAUGGAAUCCCGAAGAGAUUUGGGAGUGCUCGAAAGAGAGCCAUAACACAGGUGCUGCAUGGCUGUCGUCAGCUCGUGUCGUGAGAUGUUGGGUUAAGUCCCGCAACGAGCGCAACCCUUGCCAUUAGUUGCUACGAAAGGGCACUCUAAUGGGACUGCCGGUGACAAACCGGAGGAAGGUGGGGAUGACGUCAAGUCCUCAUGGCCCUUAUAGGUGGGGCUACACACGUCAUACAAUGGCUGGUACAGAGGGUUGCCAACCCGCGAGGGGGAGCCAAUCCCACAAAGCCAGUCGUAGUCCGGAUCGCAGUCUGCAACUCGACUGCGUGAAGUCGGAAUCGCUAGUAAUCGCGGAUCAGAAUGUCGCGGUGAAUACGUUCCCGGGCCUUGUACACACCGCCCGUCACACCAUGGGAGUCGGUUGCACCAGAAGUAGGUAGCCUAACCGUAAGGAGGGCGCUUACCACGGUGGGAUUCAUGACUGGGGUUAAGUCGUAACAAGGUAGCCGUAUCGGAAGG
rnacentral:rRNA from 1 species